rnacentral:rRNA from 1 species
GCCCAAGAGACUGGGAUAACACCUGGAAACAGAUGCUAAUACCGGAUAACAACACUAGACGCAUGUCUAGAGUUUAAAAGAUGGUUCUGCUAUCACUCUUGGAUGGACCUGCGGUGCAUUAGCUAGUUGGUAAGGUGACGGCUUACCAAGGCAAUGAUGCAUAGCCGAGUUGAGAGACUGAUCGGCCACAUUGGGACUGAGACACGGUCCAAACUCCUACGGGAGGCAGCAGAU